rnacentral:rRNA from 1 species
CUCCUACGGGAGGCGAGCAGUGGGGAAUAGUUGCGCGAAUGGGCGAAAGCCUGACGCAGCGACGCCGCGUGGGGAUGGAAGGCCUUACGGGUUGUAAACCCCGUUUCAAGCAGGGACGAAGCGAAAGUGAACGGUACCUGGCCAGAAGAAGCGCCGGCUAACUACGUGCCAGCAGCCGCGGUAAUUC